UUCUCCAACUGGCGCUGGUGUGCAAAAGUUCAUACUGCGGUACUGCAGGGCGCCUGCAACCACCCACCAACCGCAAUAGUACAUAACGGCAGCACACAGACCAUUGGUGCGCAGUGCGUCGAGCCGCUGAAGUCAGAGUUGAAAUUUCGCUGUGAUGCCAAAGUGCUUGUGUUUGCGGUGGUCACUCGCUCUCUGCGUCGUGUCGGCACGCGCCGGGCGCAGGAGACGCAUGUGAAAGGCUCGAAAAUAGAAGAGUGAGCAAACAAAGUGCAUGGAAAAGCAGAGCGAAAGAUUUCGCGAAAAUUUUCUGAAGCCAGGGAACAUGCCUUAAAGUAUUAGUAGCUAUAAAUAACGGAAAAUUAAGCGGUUAACUGUGUGUGCAUAUAAAAUUAAAUUUUUUCUGAAUAAAUAUUUUUCUAAAUGAAAAGCGCGAAAAAGUGUGCAGCUCUACGUAAUACUUAGCCGCUAAGUUAACACACCGAUUUAGCGUUAAUUUUUACCCGACGUUGUUGUUAUUGUGCUCGUGCAGUGUGCUAACGAAGUGCCAUAAUACACAACCGGCAAUAAAAAAGUAAAUCUUCGCCGUCAAAGCCGGAAAUUAUGAAGUGAAAAAAUUGCAACAACACAACACCAAUAAUAACCAAUAAAAACAAGCAAAAUACACGAAAUCACUGUCGUCGAAGUGUUGAGCGAAAUCAGCGCCGUUUAUGGCGAGACAGCGAGCGCAGCUGUACCCCAAACGCAGUUGCAACCAUAGCAUUAAAAAGCAAUAAAUUCUAAAGCCAAAAACGCCGAAUGAAAACAAGCAGCAACGCAACACCGUUAAUGGCUCGCUUUCCGCUCGUUUCGAGUAAAUAAAAUGAUUUAAUAGAUUUUGGCUUGACAUCACAACGCAAAUAAAAAGAUGACAAAGUCACACGAAGCAGUGCCGUUAUUAAUAGUGAUUACAAAGCCAACAAUAACAACAACACAAAUAUUAACUAGUCGUAAUCGAAAUGCAACAAAGCGUGUGCUGCGGUGAAUAUGAAAGCCAGUUUGCUUCUCAAAAUCACUUCUUACGCCGAAAUUUAUCGCACAUUUAUUUACUGAGUCGUAUAUAAAGUGAAGUGUACCAAAUAAAUUAUAUGGAAACACUUGCAGCAAGUGCCAGCAAAGGUUUAAAUCUUAAACACAUUUUAUACAGAUCAUAAGUGUCAAAAAAACAUAAACAAAAAAAAAAAAUAAAAAUAAAUAAAUAAAAUAAAAAACUACGCGGCAUUGUAUAAAUAUAUAUCGACUAGAUCAAUAAGUAUAUGUAAAUAUAUAGUUAUUUUUCUACUACUUAUUCCACGCGUUUUGUAUAAAUAUUAUAAAUAUUGAUAUUGUGAUAAUAUUUGAUAAUUAACGGUUAAUAACUUUAUUGGUAUAAAUAAACAACUUUUUACAAUGCAAAAUAUUAGUAGAAAAUAAUAUAUACAAAGCAUAAUUACUCUUCAAUAAUAUAAGCAUAGAAUAAUAAUGCAUUCAAACUCUUUAUAAAUCCACUCUUCGCAACUUUAAACUUAAAAUUUAUUCAAAUCAAAAAUACUUUUUAAAUCAACUUUUUCAAACUCGAAUCUAAAACAUAAAUUGCAAUCGAACUUUGAUACAAUAUAAUCAACAUAUUAAAGCUGCUUAUAAAACAAAAAAUCCUCAACUCGGCUUACACACGCACACACAUUGCUGUGUCUGUGUCUAUAACUGCUCUGCUCAUCAUUCGAGUGUGAAGCCGGCGUCGGCAGCGCUUUGCAUCAGCCUCAGAGCGUCAAGUGUGUAAGCUUCAAGCAAUUAGCAGCGUUCCGCUCGACGUUCCGUCUAGUGGUUAUCUAUCGUCGGUGCUCGCAGCUGCCAUACAGAACAAGUCACGCUGAUGAUGGGAUACAUCAUGGGGUGCGCUUGUUUCAAAGGUAAAGGAUUCAAAGGUAUGUGAUUAUGAU